rnacentral:rRNA from 1 species
AUGACCCGCCGCCGCAGCCCACGCCUCCAUCCCCAGAUCCCGGCCGGAAUGGCCGUCCGCCGCAGUCCGCGGCUCCUCUCCCAAACCCACACCAGCGAGGAUGGCUCCGGCAUAGCCCUCCGCCGCAGCCCGCGGCUCCACCCUCAGAUCCCCGUGAGUGCCAAGGGCGCCGGAGCGACCUGCCGACGCAGCUCGCGGCUCAACCCCGAAAUCUGCGUGGGUGAGGAGGUCUCUGGAGUGACCUACCGCCGCAGCCCGCGGCUCAAUCCCCAACUCCACACGAGCGAGGAGGGCGCCGGCCGCCGCACCACGCUGCUCCACCCCCAAGUCCACUCGAGCGAGGCGGGCUCCGGAAUUACACGCCGCCGCCGCCGCCGCGGCACCUCGCCGGCUGCGCCUGCCGCCCUGCCGGACGACGACGAUAUGCUCCGGGAGAUCCUCCUGCGCCUCCCGCCUCAGCCGUCCUCCCUCCCGCGCGCCUCCGCCGUCUGCAAACGCUGGCAACGCGUCACCACCGACCCCCGGCUCCUCAGCAGCUUCUCUGCCCACCACCGCAAGCCGCCCCUCCUCGGCUUCUUUGAGCCUGACUGCUACGACAUCGUGUUCACCUCGAUCAUGGACCCUCCCAACCGCAUCCCUCCCGUGAGGUUCGACACACGGCGUCAGAUCCGCAGCUUCCGGAAGGCCGAAGUGCUCGGUUGCCGCCACGGCCUCGUCCUCCUCCUGGCAGACUGGUUCAUUGUAUGA